rnacentral:rRNA from 1 species
UGGGGAAUUUUGGACAAUGGGCGCAAGCCUGAUCCAGCCAUGCCGCGUGCGGGAAGAAGGCCUUCGGGUUGUAAACCGCUUUUGUCAGGGAAGAAAUCUUCUGAGUUAAUACCUCGGGAGGAUGACGGUACCUGAAGAAUAAGCACCGGCUAACUACGUGCCAGCAGCCGCGGUAAUACGUAGGGUGCAAGCGCUAAUCGGAAUUACUGGGCGUAAAGCGUGCGCAGGCGGUUUUGUAAGACAGAGGUGAAAUCCCCGGGCUCAACCUGGGAACUGCCUUUGUGACUGCAAGGCUUGAGUGCGGCAGAGGGGGGAUGGAAUUCCGCGUGUAGCAGUGAAAUGCGUAGAUAUGCGGAGGAACACCGAUGGCGAAGGCAAAUCCCCUGGGCCUGCACUGACGCUCAUGCACGAAAGCGUGGGGAGCAAACAGGAUUAGAUACCCUGGUAGUCCACGCCCUAAAACGAUGUCAACUGGUUGUUGGGAAGGUUCCUUCUCAGUAACGUAGCUAACGCGUGAAGUUGACCGCCUGGGGAGUACGGCCGCAA